rnacentral:lncRNA from 1 species
CCCCUAAUGGAUUUUGAUGAAUACAAAACACUAGAGCAUAAUUCCAUUAUAUCUUAACAAUUUAAUUAAGGAAUUCAUGUGUUUUAUCUAGAAUAUUGUUGAGAAAUGUCUAGGCAAGUUCCCAUAAUUUUAUGAAUUCAUUGAAGAACAUUUUGAGUUAAUGAAAAAGUUCAGGGACAGCCGAGACGUCUCCUGAUGGUUUCAGAGACGUCUCUGG